rnacentral:ncRNA from 1 species
UAAAGAGAUAGAGGUUGCGCAAGUCAAAAGUACUUUGCUAGAUGAAGCAAAUCAGAUGACAGUAGAGGAAAGGGGCAAGCGCCGAAAGGGUUAUUUUUGCAGAAUAAUUCUUGGGCAUAAAGUUAAUAGCUUUAUGACUGUCAUCGUAAGAUGGAGUGCUAUCAUAUAA